rnacentral:rRNA from 1 species
GUGAGUGGCGAACUGGUGAGUAACACGUGGGAAACCUGCCCAGAAGCGGGGGAUAACACCUGGAAACAGAUGCUAAUACCGCAUAACAACUUGGACCGCAUGGUCCGAGCUUGAAAGAUGGCUUCGGCUAUCACUUUUGGAUGGUCCCGCGGCGUAUUAGCUAGAUGGUGGGGUAACGGCUCACCAUGGCAAUGAUACGUAGCCGACCUGAGAGGGUAAUCGGCCACAUUGGGACUGAGACACGGCCCAAACUCCUACGGGAGGCAGCAGUAGGGAAUCUUCCACAAUGGACGAAAGUCUGAUGGAGCAACGCCGCGUGAGUGAAGAAGGGUUUCGGCUCGUAAAACUCUGUUGUUAAAGAAGAACAUAUCUGAGAGUAACUGUUCAGGUAUUGACGGUAUUUAACCAGAAAGCCACGGCUAACUACGUGCCAGCAGCCGCGGUAAUACGUAGGUGGCAAGCGUUGUCCGGAUUUAUUGGGCGUAAAGCGAGCGCAGGC